CCCACACAUAGCACAUCAAAUGUCAUUAACAGAGUUCUGUUACACACAUCAUUUGAGGUUUCUUUUGAGUUACCUCUACCUUUCACUUAAAAUUUUAAUG
rnacentral:lncRNA from 1 species